AUGACGAACCACGCCGCCUUUGCUGCCGAGGACGCGGUCACCGCCGUGGCGGCGCCGGCGCAGCCGGGUCGCCAUUUCGCGUCGUUCCCGCCGCGGAGGGCGCGCGACUGCAGGAAGGCCGCCCUGGGCCGCAUGGAUCUCGCCACAUCGGGGGUGCUGAUGGCCGGGUCUCUGCUGGACUCGAUGAAGGCCUCCUCGCCCCGCCACGCCAUGUCCCCCGCCGGCGCCGACCAGGAGUGGAUCGAGAAGCACCCGUCAGCAUUGGAGUGGUUCGAGGGCGUGCUCGCGGCGGCCGAGGGGAAGCAGAUCGUCAUGUUCCUCGACUAUGACGGCACCCUUUCGCCGAUCGUCGAGGACCCCGAACGCGCCGUCAUGACUGAGGAGAUGAGGGAGGCGGUGAGGGGCGUCGCGCAGCAUUUCCCGACUGCCAUCGUGAGCGGGCGAUGCAGAGACAAGGUGUUCAACUUUGUGAAACUGGAGGAGCUGUACUACGCCGGGAGCCACGGCAUGGACAUCAAGGGCCCCACCAAAGUGUCUAACCACAAGGCAAAGGCUGACGAGGUUCUGUGCCAGCCGGCGACCAAGUUCCUGCCUGUCAUCCAGAAGGUGUAUGAGACGCUGACGGCGAAGAUGGAGUCCAUCCCGGGGGCCAUGGUGGAGAACAACAAGUUCUGCCUCUCGGUGCACUUCCGCUGCGUCGAGGAGGCGGAGUGGGACGCUCUGGGCAGGGAGGUGAGGGCGGUGCUGCACGACUACCCGAAACUCUGCCUCACGGAGGGGAGAAAGGUCCUCGAGAUCCGGCCCUCCAUCAAGUGGGACAAGGGAAACGCCCUCGAGUUCUUGCUUGAGUCUCUCGGCUUUGCUGGGCGUGGCGACGUUUUUCCGAUAUACAUCGGGGAUGACCGCACAGACGAGGAUGCGUUCGAGGUGCUGCACAACAUGGGGCAAGGCAUCGGGAUCCUCGUGACAAAGUUUCCAAAGGAGACUAGCGCAUCCUAUUCUCUGCGUGAGCCUGCUGAGGUAAAGGAGUUCCUGCGCAAGCUGGUGAAGAGCAGCGAGACAAAGAAGGGUUAA
rnacentral:rRNA from 1 species